rnacentral:rRNA from 1 species
CCUACGGGUGGCAGCAGUGGGGAAUAUUGCGCAAUGGUCGAAACCCUGAUGCAGCGACGCCGCGUGAGUGAAGAAGGACUUCGGGAUGUAAAGCUCUAUCGGCAGGGAAGAAAAUGACGCUACGUGACUAAGUAUGCCCGGCCAAAUACGUGACAACAGGCCCGGUAAUACGUCGGGCGCAAGGGUUCUCCGGAUUUACUGGGGGUAAAGGGGUCGUAGACGGCAGUGCAAGUCUGUAGUGAAAUAGUAUGGCUGAACCAUGGUACUGCCGGGGAAACUCUGCAUCUGGAGUGCAAGAGAGGUAUGCGGAAUUCCUGGUGUAGCGGUGAAAUGCGUAGAUAUUAGGAGGAACACCGGUGGCGAAGGCGGCAUACUGGCGUGUAACUGACGCUGAGGCUCGAAAGCGUGGGGAGCAAACAGGAUUAGAUACCCGUGUAGUC